rnacentral:rRNA from 1 species
GAGUUUGAUCCUGGCUCAGGACGAACGCUGGCGGCGUGCUUAACACAUGCAAGUCGAACGGAAAGGCCCUGCUUUUGUGGGGUGCUCGAGUGGCGAACGGGUGAGUAACACGUGAGUAACCUGCCCUUGACUUUGGGAUAACUUCAGGAAACUGGGGCUAAUACCGGAUAGGAGCUCCUGCUGCAUGGUGGGGUUGGAAAGCUUCGGCGGUUGGGGAUGGACUCGCGGCUUAUCAGCUUGUUGGUGGGGUAGUGGCUUACCAAGGCUUUGACGGGUAGCCGGCCUGAGAGGGUGACCGGCCACAUUGGGACUGAGAUACGGCCCAGACUCCUACGGGAGGCAGCAGUGGGGAAUAUUGCACAAUGGGCGGAAGCCUGAUGCAGCAACGCCGCGUGCGGGAUGACGGCCUCGGUUGUAACG